AAAAUUGUAAGAACAAAGCACGGUUUUAGCUGCCUUAGUCAGUAUGAGUUUGAGUAGGCUUGGCUGGCUUAGAAGUGUCAUUCAAACUGGAGUAGGGCUUAGUCUCGGAUGCAAAGUUCCUUGGUUGGCAAAUUUUUGUCUCGAUGUUAUGCUGCUUCGGUUGCUGCUACUGCCAAGGGCUAGCUGCUGUCUAGUUUCUUGUUACUUGUCAACACUAACAUGUUUUGCAUUGUCCUACAGGGACAUCUCCACACCUAUAGAUUCUGUGACAAUGUUUGGACUUUCAUCUUACAAGAUGCUCAUUUCAAGAGUGAUGAAUGUCAAGAGACUGUCAGCCGUGUUAAGAUAGUGGCAUGUGACUCGAAGCUGCUGACACAGUGAGAAAGCUGCAUACUGGGCCGAUAUUGAGUAAUAUUAGCUGCUGAUGUCACCUAUUUGCCAGAUGGUGCAAAAGACUGGUAAGAGGAGUUGGCGGAAGGGAUAUGGAAGCUCAUUCAUGUAGUUGUAUUUGUAAGUGAGGGGGAAACUGGAACUCUCAUUGUAUAAAUCCCAGAUCAUUGUAAACUGAGUGUUUCUUGACUACUUGACAUAUACAUAUUGGAUAGUCUUUAAUUCUUUCUUCAUUCUUGAGAAGGUGGUUCGAUUUCAUAGCAUGUUUCUGUGUUUUUGUUCAAUAGAAAACCAGCGUGCUUGUUGUUGUGAGGUCUAGUUGCAUUUUGUGGAUAUCUGAGCAGAGCUGCGAAGAUGCUAGCGAUAAACUUUGCAUUAUGCUGCUUUAUUCUUGGAACUACUUUCAUUCAACAGAAACAAAGACCAUUAGAUGGAUGGCUGGAUUGAAUUUGUUUUCCUUCCCCGUUUUAUUGACAUCCCUGUGAGCUCUUCUUCUGUUCCAUCCUCUUUCUUGUGAUUAUUCCUCUGAAAUUAAGCAUCAGGAAGCAUGGAGCCAUCAGUCGAAUGUUCGUCUGAUAACAGCAUGAAUCUAUCAUGCCAGUGCUAAAACAUUUGUAUGGUAUGAUUUCUCUAAAUACGUAGGCCACAGGUGACGACACUGCCUUCUCUUUGAAGAUGACGUGAAAGAAAGAAAGGGUAUCCAACACAGGAUAAUAACGUGACUUCACAAUUAAAUCAAAUAUUUAUUUUUAUAAUGCACAUCUCUAAUUUCUCAUAAAUAAAUAAGAUUAAUUUUUUAAAAUAAUCACUUUUUUCUUGAAAAAUAAAAUAUUAACUUUCAUUAAAUUUUUUACCUUUCCGAUUUUUUAUCUUCUAAAAACUAAUAUUAUUAACUUGUGAUUUUCAAUAAUAUAUAUUUUUCUGUCCCUCAAAAAUAUUAAUAUUUUUCCCUUAAAUGGGAAGAUGUCAUAAUAAUUCAUACUUAAUUAAUAAUACUCUAUCGAAUUAAUUUAACUCCAUGACAUAAUUUAAAUCAAAUAAAAUGCAAAUAAUAAUAUAAUAAAUAGUACUAAUUUUCAUUGUCAUUGCCUCCAAAUCGUUCUCAAAUAUGCUCGAACGAGUCCAAUCGAAGUUGAUGAUGUAUUUCACGAUCACAUAGUUUCGCAUUCCUUUGAAGGUAAUUUUGAAAAUUUUCAACAGAACCUUGAGUCACACGAAUUGUUAGAUGUUAUCAAAAAUUUGGGAUUUCAAGUAACUGUACAAUUUUGCAUCAUAUUGUAAAUAUGAUAUGCAUGAUGCGCGUAAUGGCCAUUUGUGAACUCCCCCAAGCAGCGUUGAAUGGAGGAGCGUACCGUUGGAGCCACCCUAAAGUAAAGGUAGUCGAGCCUUGAGGAGGCAUUUUGGUGCGACAAAACUCGAGGAUUUUGGUACCAAGGAAUAUCCGCAAGUACUAAUCAGCAUCCUUUCCCAAUUGCAUGCCACUAUUUCAUUCGUGAACCUGCACUUUCGUUUCGGGUUGGGCGGUGGAUCAUGGCUUGUCCUACUCUGCAAGUUGCAACGGUGCAAAUACAAACCACAUAAAACAUUAACCACAUAAAACAGUGGUUAAAUCAACCACGACAUCGCUUCUAGCCCACGUAAUUAAGCUCCGAUAAGAUUAAAAAAAAAAAAAAGUGCUAGGAGACGAAGAGGAGCCAAAAGUUUCGUAAGAGGGCCAAUUGCCUAGUUUUUUAUUCUUUUUGUCUUCACCUGUUAAUCUGUGACAUAAUCGUUGAUCCCUUAAAGAUGUUCUAUUGAAACAAAAAAAAACUAGUGAAGCUAUACUUCUAGACUUGUGAGUGUAAUAAAACUAAUACGGAUGAAUAAGAACAAAAUGUCAAGUAUUUAUAGAGUUAAGUCCUCAAGGUUGCCUCAAAAGUUACCGAUUUUUGGGAUUAAGUUUAACUAACUAAUUUCAAAAGUCUGGAAAAAAAAAGUGUUCCCGAUAUUAUAAACAAGUUAGAGACUUUUAAUCAUAUACAAAACAAGAUUAAUGGUACAUAAAAGGGUUAAUUAUAAGAUUACCCAAGCUUAAACUUUAAAAUGGGACACUUAAGAUGACUUUUAAUAAAAUGGGACACUUCAACCACCACGACAUAUUCUAUUUACAAAACAAGAUUGAAGUGGGUAAUGGUACAUAAAUAUACGAAGGAAUUAAAUGGUCAUCCAUAUCAGUCCUUUUGUUGCUUCAUAUUCUAAUCUAGAGAAACUCGAUGAAUAUAGGAAAAAUUCAAUGAACAUGUGGAACUCAAUGUACAUCCAUCUCUUUUAGUUGUUUUAUAACGUUGAGUGAGUCCCUAGGAAGUUGGCGAGUGAAAGGAAAAAAAAAUAUUGUGAUGUUGUCCUAAAAUUCAUAUGAAAAGGAAAAAAAAAAAAAAGAAAUUCUUAUAGCUCAGUUUUCAAUUUCAAAUUUUGAGGCAAUGAUGGAAAAAAAAUGUUUGAAUAAAGGGGUAUUAUUUGAAAUAAUUAUUGUACAGUAACUUUUUUUUUUUUUUUUGUAAUGCAGUAUAUAUGAGAUAAAAGAACAGUUAAAAAAAACGUGUUUAUAAUAUAAGUAAAAUAAUAUUUGAUAAAACAAAAAAUUUGCAUCCAAGCACACUACUCCAUUUCAUAUGGUGGAGGAAGCUUGGUAUAAUUGUAAUGGGAUCAAUAAGAACAUAUUCACAAUUCAUAAAAAUGUCUAAAGAGCUAUAUUGGCACAGCCAGCCAAGAGAUGAUUAGCAAUAGGGUAAGCUAUGAUUAUCGCUUCAAAUGCAAAGUCUUAGGAUGUAUGACAGAAUAGCAACCGUUUGCCACAUGGAUGCAAUGUCCUACUAUGAUGAUUGAUGAUGCCACUCAAGUUGGUGCAAGUAUUGACCAAAGACUUUUUACAAAAUUCCCUUUUUUUUUUUUUUUUUUCAUUUUGCUGUUGGCAUAUUGCUGUGGAUGAAAUUCCAGUUUCCAAUCCAUGUCUGUGGUUUUCAUGUCUUGGCUUGGAAGUCCAGUCGUCAAACUUCUGUCCUCAUCGCUUUCUGAUUUAUGGCCCAUCUGAACUUUUCCACAAAUGCUUUAUACUUCUUUCUUGCACCCCCUCUUCUCAUAUUGGUGGGUACAAAAAAAUUCUAAGCUCAAUAAAAUCCUUAAUCAUAUGUAUGUAUAUAUAUGCACAGUUUUCAAUCAUGCAGAUAUUUUGCAUGUUGAGACAUGGAGAAGGUCAUCUGACUUCUGUUCUCCUACUUUUCUUUUCUUCAGAAGCAAUGAUAUGGAUCUUUUUUUCUUUUUUUUUUUGUCGACACAGGGGUGUCCGGGUCAAUCCUUACGGGGUCCGACUAAUCCCCUGUAAUCCGGGUCCAGCGCCCCAACCCGACCCAAGCACGAUAAGUGCGCGGAGGAAUCCAACAGAGCAAAGAUUCGAACUCGGGACCAAAUGGUCACCAAUGGGAGGUGCUACCGUUGGAUCAUUCACGCGGGCAAAAUAUGGAUCAACCUGAACCUUUUGUUUGUAACUUUUGCUUUUAACCUUUUGUUCAGGUUGAUAUGGAUCAACCCGAACCUUUUGUUUUCAACUUUUAGGUUUCUCCUUUUAAACCCUUUUUUUCUUUGGAAAUGGUGACCAGCCUUUCAAUUUGGUUUUGGCAUGUACCUUUUUCAUCGAUCUGUGCAUUUUGUUCUUCACUAAUGUGUAGAUUCACGGAUUUGAGAGUGCAUUUUUUUAUUAAAGAGUAUAAUGUAUUGCUGAAACUGAACAAUGUAAAUAUUCUCGCUCUGUUUGUUUGUUGAAAAAAGAAUUGAUCGUGCAAUGUAUAAAAUAGUUCAAGAAAUCAUACAAACCAAUAUCAUGAAUGACAACAAUAUAAAAUUUAAAUUUGAAAUUCAAUUUUUGCACAUGUGUCAUAGAUUCAACGGUGAUAAUGUGUGCACUGUUAGUGUACAUAAAAUUCAAUCUAAUCUAUAUUACUAGUUGGAAAGUAGGUUGGUAACUUUGGAUACAUGUUUUUGGUAGGGGCCAAAAAAAGAUUCUCAUCCUAGUUUGGAGACAAAUCAUUAAAGCAAAUUGAUAAUUUGAUUUAGAACCCAGUAAACUCGUUUACAAAUUUACUCUAUGAGGAUAAAAUCCAAAAUCAUAUCAUCAUUGCCUAAUCAUAUUUCAUUGAUAAGUUGUUUUCUUUGUUGUUGAUUAUGAUUGUUGUAGUGAUUUGAUUACACAUCUAUUGGUGUGCAAAUUAAGGAAUUUUUUUUUUAUUAAAACAAUGGAAGUUAUUAGAAGUUUACUUUUUUUUGUUGCAAAAAAGGUUAUUAUUUCUUUUUUUUUUUUUGCAAACAAAGAAAUUAUUGGAACUUAAAAUAGUGGAAGUUAUCUGAACUUUAGUAGUUAUAUUUAGUAAAUUUUUACUUUUGUGACGUUAAAUUUGAAAAAAAUAAAAGAUGACAAAAAUUUUUAACACCAAAUCCAUGCUCAAACUUUAUAUAUAUAUAAAGAUAAUAAUUUUGUCUUGGGUAACUUAUUCUAAUUCGACUCAAGCUUCCAGUGGCUUUGAAAAAAGAACAAAGUAAGCACACAUCAUAGCAAGAUUUACUCUUUUAUUUCAACCAUUUUUCUCUAUUCCGAACCAAAGAAGUUGAGUCGGGAUAAGAUUUUAUCAAAUAUAGCAAAGGAAGUGCUCUAUUUUACAUAUUUUGAGACAAAUUUUCAUGACAUUAAAUGAAAGCAAUACGAGGAAAUAAAUAAUUAAGGACGACCGAUAAAAUGAGCUAAGUGUUAUACAUUUAAUAGUUUAUACUAAAGAUGAUAUAUAUAUAUACAUACACACACACAUAUAUUAGACCAGUUCAUCUAAAAAAACUAAGUGGAAGUAAAUAAUUAAGUCAAUAAUAUUAUCCUUUGAGGAAAAUAAAAUCCAUCAUGUUUCAAGCUGGCUGUUGUCUGUGAGGAGAUCAUGUAAUAAAACUUCCAUAGACGCAAAAAAAAAAAAAAAAAAAAAAUCCCAAUGGCUCUCAAACAUAUUACAUGAACAUACAUUUAAAGAAUACCAUGAGAAUUUGUAACUGGUUUAGAAAUAUUGACACCAUCAAAAUUGUUAGUGAUAUUAUCUAAUCAUGUUAAUAAUAUCGAGGAUAUUACUGUGAAAGCCAAAGAUGCGUUUCAUCUUUCAUCUACCAACAUGUUUAAUUGAAACUUUUUUCUAGUAAAAUUAAUUUGUAACUACUAUUCCCUAUAUAUAUAUAUAUAUAUAUAUAUAUAUAUAUAUAUAUAUACAUAUAGUUAAAUAUAUUCAUGGUUUUAGAGUAAAAUGUUAAUGGGAAUUCCUAAUCUUUUGAUAAUUAUAUGUUUGAUAAUCUAAGGCAAUAUGCAUGGAGAAGUAUGAUCUCAUAAUUUGACUUAGAGCACUAUGCUCUUUGAUACUUGAACAGUAUAAAACAGGCAAAUUAAACAUAGAUCAUCUACUCUGUCUAGGUUACAAAGCACCAUCAAGUUACACGCUACUACAAAAUUAAACUAACAAAAUUCAUAACGUCAUCUGCGUGUUAACUACUUUCAUAAACCAAAUAUCUAAAAACGUAAUUCACUAAUUGAUCAAUAAUACAUCUCGAGUUUGUUUGGAUAGUGUAUUAUUUGAAAUAAUUACUGUAGCACUUUUUGUGAUGUGAUGUAUGUGAGAUAAAAAGGUGGUUGGGAAUAUAAAAAGGUGUGUUGGAAAAUGUAUCUAUGAUGCAAGCGAAAUAUUAUUUGGGAUAAUUGGGGUAUCCAAACACACUAAAUAUCUCUACUUGCACGUACCGACAAUUACAUGUUGACUAUAAUCGUAAUACGUAAUCGCUAUAUAUAUACAUCGACAGUUUCAAGCGUAUUUAUUGGAGCCGCUUAUAAACACCGACACGAACAUAUCCGCUGCCAAAAGGGUUGCCUCUUGGCUUCCAAUGCCAUCACAUCUCAAAAAUCUCGUAAUCCACAAAUUUCUCAAACAAAAAGAUACUACAAUUUGUUAAAAGAAAAGGAUUAAAACUUGGAGAGGAACUCUUCUCAAAGCCAAUUAUAUAAAGGUAAGAAUAAAGAACAACCUAGAACGAAAGGGACUAAAUUGCAAAACCGCCUUACUGUUUGGAAAAAAAGAGAGAGCCCAUGUAUCGCUGAGACUUCUCUUCUCCAUUUCUUUAUACAGUGCACGUCAUCAAAUAUUAUAUAUAUAAAACCCUGCCACAGCCCAGGCCCCUUGAGUCUUGCCCCAGGGUUACAUAAUUUCUCCUCUCUUCUGAGACCCUUUUUGUCUUCUUAACCUAUUUCCUCUCGAAUUAAACCAAUCCCCAAAUCUUCUCCAAAAAAUUCUCUGUACAGUUAUACCUUUUUGAUGUCCGAAGCAUCCACCGUUUUGCAGGUCAGCCACUUUGUCUUUUUAUGUUUGUCACAUAAAAGUCUGUAGUGUUUAUGGGGGGUUUUUUUUGGUAUUUAGGGAUGGUUUUCGUUUUAUUUUCAAUAUCGAUUUAGGGUUUUGUUGAUUUAAUUUGUCGAUUUUCGAGCUUAAAAUUGUUUGUUUUGAUGCUAACUUCUGUUAUUUAUGUUUUAUUGUUUGUGGUUUUGGUGAAUACAGUAAAUAGAUAUAGGGAAGUAGACUUUGGAUAUGGCGAGCUUAAGAUCGAGCUUGCCGUCACGGCUACGGCAACUUCUGUCCGGUGACGGAGCAAUCGGUCCCUCUGCUAAACUUGACUCCGAGCCUGUAUGCCUUCAAUUUACUUACACUACUUUCACUACUUACACUACACUAGUACACACAGAGAAACACAUAUACGCGUGUAUAUUAUAACUGUUCAAGUGAUGCCUAGUUUAUGUGAUGGUAUUUACUGGUGAUUCAACUUGAGGGUUUUGUAUUUUGGGUUUAAUUUAUUGCAAAAUGUUUUCUUUGUGGCAAUGUGCAAGUAAUUUUCUGUUGUAUUGUGAGCCUGGAUAUGGGUAUUGCUUUCUUUGCUGAAAAAUGCACUUGUUUGAUUUCUUUUAGCAGUAUUAUGUGCUUUCAGCCUAAUGGUUAGUAUAUUGAAAGAUAAAAUUAAAUGUGAAAUGGCUUAAUUUGCCUAGGGAAAUUCAUAUCAACCUUGACAAACGCAAUUAACUUUUUAUUUGCUUUGAUGCUUAAUAGAUGCGGCAGCAUUGGAGAUUUCGUUUGAUUUAAAACUUCUGUCUUUGUUUUUUGGUUGUUCAGCUUCUGUGUAUUUUAAGAGUUACCAAGGAGGAUAUGGUGCUCUUUUUUGUAGUCUAUGUUGCUUUAUGAGCAUUAUACUUUGUAAUGUCUUGGUCUUACGCUUUCUCAAGGACUUGCGUGGCUUAUUUUUUUUGUGAACUAAGGUCCUUCUUCUAAUUUCCUUUCCAUUGUGUUCUUGAAACUUGGAAUUUGUGACAUACAUUGGUUUUACUCCACUUUGCUAGUGAAUGACUUUAUUUGAAGGAAUUGAAGUAAGCGAAAACCUUCAUGAGUAAAUUCUCUGUUCUUCCUCAGUAAAUGCGUCUUUUUAUCUUAAGUUCUCUAAGCAGUUUGCUUCUCAGAGGGGUACUUUUUAUGUAUUUUUAGAUUUAUUAAAUUGAAAAUAUUUUGGGCUGAAGUAGUAUAUAGUUAGAAUUUAUGAUUUUUUUUCCUCCUUAAACUUUGUGGAAUAUACAAUAUGUGCUUUUCUUGGUGGUCAGUUUAGUUGUAUCUAGAUGGUUUGUUCAAAUUUUGCAUUUGUUGCAUGUAUUCAAUUGGUUAAAUGCGUGUAUGUCAUAUUGUUGAGUCAUGAAUAAUGCAACUUGGACCUGAUUAUGGUGGUUCAAAGGCUUGUACAUCUUAGCAAGACUUAGUGGAGGAUUUGUAAGUUUCAAGACUUGCAUGGACACAUUCAUUUUGUAAUUCAGUUCAAUUUUGUUGUUAGAUCACUUUCAAAUUCCUGAACUCUUAGUGCUCAGUUGAAUUUCUUUUCUCUUUUGUUCUUGCUAUAAAUAUAUAGAAUUAGGAGAAGCAUCGCUGCUCCUAAUUAUGUCAGUUGUUGUGUUUCCACUUCAAGAUUAUGUUGCAAGUUUACUUAUUCUUGUGGUUAGAAUACUGUUCAAAUUUAAAGAAAUGGAAAAGGAUUUUUAUAAGAUCUGGAACAUUGGUAGCUACAAAAGGAGAAAGGGCAUCUUUUUACAUAAUUAAUGUGUUGGACGUUAGAAGGAUCGAGGAAAACCUCAUAGUAGGUAUAGCUAAUUAUGCUACUGAGGAUGUGGUUUGCUUUGCCCUUGUGUUCUUGACCCUUUCUUCUUUGGGGGAUUUGAGUGGUUUAGCCUGUCCCCCAAUAUUGUGUUUCAUAUGCUUUCAUUUGCAUAAUUUUUGAAGCAUUGCAUGUCAUGCUUCUUCGGACAUUAUUGCUCAGACUUUUAAGGAAUUACCUUUGUUCUGUUUUAAAAUUCUUGCAGUUUAUAUGCUUAAGUGUUGUCAUCUUGUCAAAACCAUAAGUAAAUAGUUUUCCCCCCAUUAUGUGAGAACAUUUUCUCUCAAAUAAUUUGUGAUUUUUAAAAGGCAUAGCUUGCUGGUACAUUGUUAUAUGGGUUUUGGUAAAAAGUACAUUAAAGACUUUGACAUGUGAUUCUGUGGGAGAGCUGUAAAGUGCAUUGGAGUUUUGCAUGUGAUAUUACUGACUUUUUUGGGGAACAUUACUGACUUCAAAAGAAGUUUAUGAAUUUUCUUGUUUUUAGCCUUUUAUUUUUCCUUUUCUAUUCUUCUUUCAUAUCAAGCACUUUACAAAUUGCUUAUGGUAUCUUGGGUGUGGGAGAUCUUCUUUUCAAAAUAUUUGAUAUCUCUAUUGUGAGUUAACAUGUGAAUACCAGUAUACCAUGCUGUAAUGAAGUUAAUGGGUGAAGACAUGCUUUUGUGGAAAUAUUGAUUGGUUGUGACUGGAGAAGCAUUUUAGUUUCCAUACUUGCUGGAAUUGUAAUUUUGUCGGCCACUUCUCAUAUUAUCCGAAAAAGUAGUAGUAUGGUAUUUUAUCAUUAAUCAACAUCCACGCAAACUUCACAGGCACUCCCAUAUAUUAAAAGAUUUUAUCACGUAUAGCUGGACAUUUAUAGGCUAAAAUUGGUUGGCACCAAUUAUCAACCCCAAUAGUUUAGUAUGGAAAAGCGAUGCCACUAAUUUUGUUCUGAAAUAUUUUGGGUUUAUUACAAUUUAGUAUAUAGAUCUGAAAGUUGUGGCUAUCAAUCAUCAAGAUUUUGUGCCUGAUGCAAGCAAUUUUAGCCUACUUGGGAGAUAACGAUGUUGAUUUUUUAGAAGUUUUAUGUAUCCUUUACGUGGAAAGCUGGUGCACUUUAGAUGCAUAUAUAUCCUGCCAUGUGACAUGGCAAGACAGCUGCAAUCAGUUGGCAUUCUUCAUUUUAGUCUGUGCUGUCGUUUAUCUUUUGGUACAAUAAAUGUGGCUGUAAGAGUAUUUCUGCUGGGUUAGCUUUCCACAGAAAGAACCUUGAUGUCAUCCUGUAGGAAUUAGGGCUAGGGCGUAUGAUUCUCAAAUUUGCUCUCAGUGUGUUUCAAUUGAAGAUUGUUUGGAGAAUGUUAGUUACAAUUUACUGUCGCUAUUUUUUGGUGUGAUGUUUGUGAGAUGAAAGGGUGAUAGACAAGAUUAAAAAAAAAAGUGACUGGAAAAAGUCAUGAUUACUGUAUGUCAGACUGCUGGUGAUGUUAAUGUUCUCUUAUUCAAAUUUUUGAUGGCUUAGAAAAUUGUAAGAACAAAGCACGGUUUUAGCUGCCUUAGUCAGUAUGAGUUUGAGUAGGCUUGGCUGGCUUAGAAGUGUCAUUCAAACUGGAGUAGGGCUUAGUCUCGGAUGCAAAGUUCCUUGUUGGCAAAUUUUUGUCUCGAUGUUAUGCUGCUUCGGUUGCUGCUACUGCCAAGGGCUAGCUGCUGUCUAGUUUCUUGUUACUUGUCAACACUAACAUGUUUUGCAUUGUCCUACAGGGACAUCUCCACACCUAUAGAUUCUGUGACAAUGUUUGGACUUUCAUCUUACAAGAUGCUCAUUUCAAGAGUGAUGAAUGUCAAGAGACUGUCAGCCGUGUUAAGAUAGUGGCAUGUGACUCGAAGCUGCUGACACAGUGAGAAAGCUGCAUACUGGGCCGAUAUUGAGUAAUAUUAGCUGCUGAUGUCACCUAUUUGCCAGAUGGUGCAAAAGACUGGUAAGAGGAGUUGGCGGAAGGGAUAUGGAAGCUCAUUCAUGUAGUUGUAUUUGUAAGUGAGGGGGAAACUGGAACUCUCAUUGUAUAAAUCCCAGAUCAUUGUAAACUGAGUGUUUCUUGACUACUUGACAUAUACAUAUUGGAUAGUCUUUAAUUCUUUCUUCAUUCUUGAGAAGGUGGUUCGAUUUCAUAGCAUGUUUCUGUGUUUUUGUUCAAUAGAAAACCAGCGUGCUUGUUGUUGUGAGGUCUAGUUGCAUUUUGUGGAUAUCUGAGCAGAGCUGCGAAGAUGCUAGCGAUAAACUUUGCAUUAUGCUGCUUUAUUCUUGGAACUACUUUCAUUCAACAGAAACAAAGACCAUUAGAUGGAUGGCUGGAUUGAAUUUGUUUUCCUUCCCCGUUUUAUUGACAUCCCUGUGAGCUCUUCUUCUGUUCCAUCCUCUUUCUUGUGAUUAUUCCUCUGAAAUUAAGCAUCAGGAAGCAUGGAGCCAUCAGUCGAAUGUU
rnacentral:lncRNA from 1 species